UACGGAGGGUGCAAGCGUUGUCCGGAUUUAUUGGGUUUAAAGGGUCCGCAGGCGGGCUAUUAAGUCAGUGGUGAAAGCCUACAGCUUAACUGUAGAAUUGCCAUUGAUACUGAUAGUCUUGAGUACAGACGAGGUAGGCGGAAUUUAUGAUGUAGCGGUGAAAUGCAUAGAUAUCAUAAAGAACACCAAUUGCGAAGGCAGCUUACUAGACUGUAACUGACGCUCAUGGACGAAAGCGUGGGGAGCGAACAGG
rnacentral:misc_RNA from 1 species